UACGGAAGGCAGCAGUGGGGAAUAUUGGACAAUGGGGGAACCCUGAUCCAGCCAUGCCGCGUGUGUGAAGAAGGCCUUAUGGUUGUAAAGCACUUUAAGCGAGGAGGAGGCUACUGAGACUAAUACUCUUGGAUAGUGGACGUUACUCGCAGAAUAAGCACCGGCUAACUCUGUGCCAGCAGCCGCGGUAAUACAGAGGGUGCGAGCGUUAAUCGGAUUUACUGGGCGUAAAGCGUGCGUAGGCGGCUUUUUUAAGUCGGAUGUGAAAUCCCCGAGCUUAACUUGGGAAUUGCAUUCGAUACUGGGAAGCUAGAGUAUGGGAGAGGAUGGUAGAAUUCCAGGUGUAGCGGUGAAAUGCGUAGAGAUCUGGAGGAAUACCGAUGGCGAAGGGCAGCCAUCUGGGCCUAAUCUGACGCUGAGGUACGAAAGCAUGGGGAGCAAACAAGGGAUUAGGAUACCCGU
rnacentral:rRNA from 1 species